AACGAACGCUGGCGGCAGGCCUAACACAUGCAAGUCGAGCGCCCCGCAAGGGGAGCGGCGGACGGGUGAGUAACGCGUGGGAACGUGCCUCUUGCUACGGAAUAGCCUCGGGAAACUGGGGGUAAUACCGUAUAAGCCCUACGGGGGAAAGAUUUAUCGGCAAGAGAUCGGCCCGCGUUGGAUUAGGUAGUUGGUGGGGUAAUGGCCUACCAAGCCGACGAUCCAUAGCUGGUUUGAGAGGAUGAUCAGCCACACUGGGACUGAGACACGGCCCAGACUCCUACGGGAGGCAGCAGUGGGGAAUCUUAGACAAUGGGCGCAAGCCUGAUCUAGCCAUGCCGCGUGAGCGAUGAAGGCCUUAGGGUUGUAAAGCUCUUUCGUGGGG
rnacentral:rRNA from 1 species